rnacentral:rRNA from 1 species
AUUGAACGCUGGCGGCAGGCUUAACACAUGCAAGUCGAACGGUAACAUAAAGAAGCUUGCUUCUUUGAUGACGAGUGGCGGACGGGUGAGUAAUGCUUGGGAAUCUAGCUUAUGGAGGGGGAUAACUACGGGAAACUGUAGCUAAUACCGCGUAAUAUCGAGAGAUUAAAGUGUGGGACCUUCGGGCCACAUGCCAUAGGAUGAGCCCAAGUGGGAUUAGGUAGUUGGUGAGGUAAAGGCUCACCAAGCCGACGAUCUCUAGCUGGUCUGAGAGGAUGACCAGCCACACUGGGACUGAGACACGGCCCAGACUCCUACGGGAGGCAGCAGUGGGGAAUAUUGCGCAAUGGGGGCAACCCUGACGCAGCCAUGCCGCGUGAAUGAAGAAGGCCUUCGGGUUGUAAAGUUCUUUCGGUAGCGAGGAAGGCAUUUAGUUUAAUAGACUAGGUGAUUGACGUAA